UAUUUUAGAGACCUUUGUGGUUGCUUUCUUAGUUUAAAAAGUAGAUACAAUGAUAAAGCAAGGAAGGGCUCAGUGGAACUGAGAGGUCUUGUAGGCGCUGCCUGAGUUGGCUGGUACCAUGUAGUCCUCUUAAACAGGGUUGUGCUGAAGUUCAAUUGUAUGUCCUCAGCUGGGGUGGAGACAAGCCAUGUGGUUGCUAUUUAAAACAUCUUUUUUUGACAAAUAUAUUUUUAAUCAAAAAUCCAAGUUACAUAUACAGUGUAUUCUAAAUAAGAGUUGAGUCACAUAUAUGUUAUGUUAUAGCAAAUUAAGGCUACCUAUGUAUGGAUUUUUAGAUUAUAAUCCUAUUGUUGUAAGUUUUAAGCUAAAUUUUAUUAUAGAUGUCAAAAUCAUACCUAAUGAACUUACAAAUCCUGAGGUAGCUUAUAGCAUAUUCUUAAAAAAAUUUUUUUUUGAGGACAGAGAGCAAAGAAAUCGUAGAGAUGAAAGAUUUUUAAUAGUGGAAAAAUAGAAAAAUCUUACAGUUAAGAUAGAAGGGGGGUAUAGGUUUCUGGGAGGGGGGGACCGGGAAAGGGGAUAACUCUUGAAAUGUAAAUAAAGAAAAC
rnacentral:lncRNA from 1 species